GAUGAAGAACGCAGCGAAAUGCGAUACGUAAUGUGAAUUGCAGAAUUCAGUGAAUCAUCGAAUCUUUGAACGCAUAUUGCGCUCUCUGGUAUUCCGGAGAGCAUGCUUGUUUGAGUAUCAGUAAACACCUCAACUUCCAUAUCUUUUUUGAAAUGGGAGUUGGACUUGAGUGAUCCCAACGCUUUUCCUCACCGAAAAGUGGCGGGUUACUUGAAAUGCAGGUGCAGCUGGACUUUUCUCUGAGCUAUAAGCAUAUCUAUUUAGUCUGCCUAAAAAACAGAUUAUUACCAUUGCUGCAGCUAACAUAAAGGAGAUUAGUUCUUGUGCUGACUGAUGCAGGAUUCACAAAGACAGGCUUCGGCCGACUUUGUAAACUCGAUCUCAAAUCAAGUAAGACUACCCGCUGAACUUAAGCAUAUCAAUAAGCGGAGGA
rnacentral:misc_RNA from 1 species